rnacentral:ncRNA from 1 species
GCAACGGACUCAAUUGGGUCUCCUCAGAGGCAACUCUGGGGCAAUAAAUCCCUCAAACUCGGGGAAAGCUAAAUCUUUCUUUUGGGAAGACAAGCCAAUCCCGAGCCAAGACCUCGAAUUCGAGGUAAGGUGUAGAGACUAGACGGGGGACUCCCCCACAAGGACGUGGGGGGUGAAGGGAUAGUCCACUCCCCGUGGAAACACGGGG